GAAAUGAUAACUCCAGACGAAGCUCGCCGGUUGGAAGUUAGGAAGAUGCAACUUUGUUCGUGUAACAGUGUUCUGUGACAGCAAUUACCGUGACAUGAAGUGAAGAAACGGGUCGUCUGAAGAGACUGUAAAAUCCUGGGAAGCCACUGCAAAGAAGCGAGACUUCGUUCUGAAAACUUGUCCGCGAGAUAAGACGUCGACGCGAGUAACGAAAAGUGCAACUAUAACGUCCCGAACUGCCAAAGGAUCCCCGACCUCAACCGCACCAGCCACGCAGCCGGGGUUCCAAGGACUGGGUUGCCCAGGAUUACUCGAAGAUUAUAAAAGCAU
rnacentral:misc_RNA from 1 species